GUGUGUGCUGUUCCUCGGAUGGAAAUCCACGUUGCGUGAAAGCCUCACGGAUGUUCGAGCGCACGCUACACUGCUAUCUCACUCACAGACCACCUUGGACUGCUCUUCGCCUGCUGGCUGGCUGCGCAUGCGCAGUGGCGCUACAUCCGCACCUACGAGCAGAUGACGAGCGUGUUUGGAUACUCACUCGUCGCUACCGGAGAUGCGGCGAACGCUUGGUAUAUAUAGGUGGCAGCACCGCGCGGUCGCG